AAGGGCGCACGGUGGAUGCCUUGGCACCAGGAGGCGAUGAAGGACGUUGCAUGUCUGCGAAAAGCCCCGGUGAGUCGACAAGCAGGCUUUGACCCGGGGAUAUCCGAAUGAGGAAACUCCAACAGUGUGAACACUGUUGACCCUUCACUGAAAGCGCAAGCAUAGGUGUUGUGGGGCCAACCGGGGGAAGUGAAACAUCUCAGUACCCCGAGGAAAGGAAAUCAACCGAUACUCCCCUAGUAGCGGCGAGCGAACGGGGAAGAGCCCAAACCAAUAUUGUUUCGGCAAUAUUGGGGUUGUAGGACUGCAAUGUGGAAGUAUUAUUUAUAGUAGAAUCAUCUGGAAAGUUGAACCAUAGAGAGUGAUAGUCUCGUAGACGAAAUAAAUAAUAUACCUAGCAGUAUCCUGAGUAGCACGAAACACGUGAAAUUUUGUGUGAACCAGCCGGAACCAUCCGGUAAGGCUAAAUACUCCUCAAAGACCGAUAGUGAACUAGUACCGUGAGGGAAAGGUGAAA
rnacentral:rRNA from 1 species